CCUGUGGAAAUAGUCUGAAGCCCUCACCAGAAGUAGAUGCCGGCAGCAUGCUUCUUGUACAGCCUGCAGAACGUUCCAUUGUGAGUGCUGUGGCCUGUGUUUCACAUCGUAUGACAACCUGUGGCCCCGCACCUCCCAGACACAGUGCCAGAGUAAGUUCCAGGCCAAGCAGCAUUCACCACUAACUGACUGAAGAACCCUUGGACCUUGAGGGAACGUUGGUGAUAGCUUGGCAAUACUCUCUGCGGGCCUGUGGCCACAGGGUGAGGCUCCUUUGACUGUGGAAAGGGGAGGGAAGAGUGGGAAGGACUGUGUCUUGUAGUUUGAGUGACAGCUCAGCCACAGUACAAUAAAACACCGGGUAGACUUGUGUGGUUUUUGACUCUAAUUCCUGGCUCCUGCAUAGUACCUCCAUACCUGCCCAGGGCCUGGAAGAAGUCACCACCCUAAAGGAAAAGAUACAGGCUUGACUGGCUUUGCCACCUGCUGAUUGUAGAGCCCUAGGGCCUUGAAUGAACAUAGGCAGUACCCAGGGAGUGGUUACAGCAAGACUUGGGUGAGAUGCAGCACUAUGCUGGCUUCAGGUUUGUCCAAACACAGUACUAGUGGUGGUGGCCACAGGGAUUCUUGUGUCACUCUACACCCAGCUUCAGGUGGGUCAGAACAGAGAAAGACACUCUGUUUAUUUGGGAGAAAGUAAGGGAAGAGAACAAGAGUCUCUGCCUGGUAAUCCAGAGAAUUCUGGAUCUUCUCCAAGACUGCCAAGGCAGUAAAUCUAUGAGUCUGCAAGGACCACAGCAUUAGUGGGCUUCAGAUAGACCCCUCACAACACCUAAGUCCUUUCGAAUAUAUGGAAUGCCUUCCUUUCCAAGAAGGAUGAGUACAAACAAGUUCAGACUGUGAAGACUAUAAUAAAUACCUAACUCCUCAAUGUCCAGACACAGGCAAACAUCUACAAGUAUCAAGACAAUCCAGGAAAGCAAGACCUCAC
rnacentral:lncRNA from 1 species